GAAACGGAUUAGACAGCCGCCUGCCGGUAGCGGUGGGAGGAAAGUCCGAACUCCAAAGGGAAAGGUACCCGGAGUUAAUCCGGGGUAUACAGAAUGAAAAUUCUGUAUAACGGAAAGUGUCACAGAAACUAUACCGCCCCGUACUUUAAAAAUAUUGAGUGAAUUCUUGAUUUUUUUAAGUGUGGGGUAAGGGUGAAAUGGCGGGGUAAGAGCCCACCAGUCAGAUCCCUCCGGGGAUGAUCCGAUGUGAGGAUUGCGGAAACGCCUGUGCUGGAUAAACCCUACCUGGAGCAAGGCCAAAUAAGGGAGAAUUCUCUUGCGAGAGCGAGUUACCCAGCUUGUAUCCUUUACAGGAUAAACUCCCGGGUAGGCCGCAUAAGAUAAAUGGCUGUCGCUCUCCAAAGCGGGAGUUACAGAAUUCGGCUUAUAAAUCCGUUUCCCUA
rnacentral:RNase_P_RNA from 1 species